rnacentral:rRNA from 1 species
UGUGUAGGCGGCUCGGUAAGCAUCUUGUGAAAGCCCUCGGCUCAACCGAGGAAUUGCAGGAUGGACUGCCGGACUUGAGGCGCGUAGAGGUCACUGGAACUCUGGGCGGAGCGGUGAAAUGCGUAGAUAUCCAGGGGAACGCCAAUGGCGAAGGCAGGUGACUGGGCGCGUCCUGACGCUGAGGCACGAAAGCGUGGGGAGCGAACGGGAUUAGAUACCCCGGUAGUCCACGCCCUAAACGAUGUACACUAGCUUUGGGUACUUCUGACAGUUUCCGAAGCGCAGGAAAACCGCUAAGUGUACCGCCUGGGGAGUACGGUCGCAAGAUUAAA